GCAGGAUGGUUUUAACGUGCUGCCACAUGGAACACAAAGGAUCAUUUUGAAUACCUUCUAGAUAUUUUUCCUGCACACGAUGAAUGGAUUUAAAACCUCCAAGUCCACUUCCAAUUGUGGAUAGAAUCCUUUUCCAUUUUGGAUGCUCUCUUCCCCAGUCUGGCAGAGAUCGAUGGACAAGAUUUUUGCUUUUAAAUAUUAUUGAAGUUGUAUUUCAGACAAAUCUUUCUAUUUGAGACCACCUAAAUGGGCAAGUGUUUGAACAGAUACUUUUAUGAGGAUGCUUGAUUUCAAAGCUAUUUUCAGGUGUUAAAGAAGAGGAAGUCUUCAGAGAGUAGAGAAAAUGUUUUCCAUUUAAUCAUUACACAGUAGAUAAAAGAAAAUAACAGCUCUGUUUAGUUGGAGGGAUGGAGGCAUUGGCCAACCAAGGAUGAGGUGUGGAGGAAGCCCUUCCUUUGUGUCACAUGACUGGCUUGUACCCACAACAUCGCUCCUCGGUGGGCAAGGAGAACGAGCGUGGCAGGAGUGGCACGUGUCCUGGAGCAGUCUGGUCUCUCCAUUUACCAAACGUCCCCAUAGGACAGCUCUGUUUUCGUAAACAGCAUGUUGAGUGGAUCGGUCCGGGCCUUCAGGUUUAGUGGGUGGAUCAGACUGGGACUUCAGGAGAAGGACUGAACUCUGAUACAACUUUCUUCAGGAUGACCUUGAUUCUCUGUGUGUGUGUGUGUUAAGAAAAUCCAGGAAGUGUCUCCAUAUUUGUUGUCUGUCCUCUCUCUGUCCUCCACAAAUCCCCUUAUAUCCCUUAUCUGCAGCAUAGCUGAACCUCUGUGGGGUCAUUCCACUAAUUUGGUGCAAAUGUACCUUGGUCAAAAAAAAUAAAUCCCUCUCAAAGAGAUAAAAAAAUAUAUAUAAUGGUGAAAGUAAUUGCCUCCUGAAUUUUAAAUGAAGUAGUUGGGUUGAUUAUCUAAUUUUAAGUCUGUGGUUCAAUGUGUUGCUUGCGCAGAGACAAAUUAUCCUGUCUGACAUUCUACCCAUCCACACAGGACAAUGUUGAUAUUAAUAGCACAAACAAUUAUUUAUUGAAUAAUCCACGUGAUAUAUAUUUAGGGGCACUUAAUAAAAACGUUUUUAAAAUGCAAUAUUAAUGACGAUUUUAUUUAUUUUUUUACCAAAAAUGCGCAUAUAGAUGCUAAAUAAACUCCUGUGGAAGAUGAUUCCAACAUGCCUAAAAUAAAUGGCUCCAUUCUUGACAUAAAUUAAACAUUACAGCGUGUUUUACAUGUUAAUGUAAGUGGAAAUGUAAUCUUAUUAUUUAUUAUUUAUUAAUUAUUUUAUUGACUAAUUCCAUUGACAGGAAGUAGGCCUACUAUUACAGCUGGUUAACCGAGAUUAGUGAGACAGCCUUAACAUAUUUCGGGUCCAUCGGAAUGUACUUUUACAUUUAAUUUGUAUAGAUCGUUAUGUGGAUACUGUACUGUAAGGGUGAUGGCGUUUGUAAUGUUGUAAUCCAAAACAAUACAGAUAAAGUAGUUCAAGAUGUUCGCUUUCUCUCUCCUUCUGUCCUUUGAAUCGCCUUAUCUGUCUUCAUCUGCUCGUAUUUUAUCUUUUUUUUUUUUUUUUAUCGCUAUCAGUCCUUUGCUCUGACAGUGCUUUGUUGACACAUUCAACAACUAAUUGGGCUGUCGUAGGGAGGUGAACCAUAGAGAAACCACAGGCGGACUGCAGAAGCACCCACGGCCACCAUCUCCAGAGACACAUGCCUUAUGAAAGACACGCAGCUGUGUCGUCCACCUACCGGCCCAAGUCCUCGGAGCGCUGCGGGACGGAUGAUUCAUUUAGAGUUCGGCUCUGUUUAUUUUGUCAACAGUGCACCUGCUGCCUGCCUAGCCCACAAACUCACCGUAGCACGCGCCAAAACUCACACGUGCCGUUUCCACUAAUCAUCUCACUUUCUCAGAACACAACAAUGCCCCAGGUGACUUUGCUUGGCACCCCAGCACCGACCAACCUGUUGGAGAAUGUACCGGAGUUUUGCAACCCUUCAUGUUGAGCAGUGAUAAAAAGACUGAUUAUCUUCCUCCCACGUGAAUGGCUGGAGAAACAUCUGUUUACCACUCUACUCCAGAGGAAGGGUUGCAAAAAUAUGUUAACGGUUCCAAAAUAUCCCGGCUUAUCGGAAAACCCGGUGGGAGGUUUCCCGGGAUCAGGAGUGACUGGGAAAUCCGGAGUCCUAUUAUCAGGCGUUCAGGAAAACCUCCACCUCUCGCCUUGCUUACUGGGUUUCUUUCCACCUUAUUCACACUUAGUCCCAUCUAGCUGAUAUGUCUUCACUGAUUGAUGAAGAACUUGAACUGUGUUCCAAAAACGAUCCUCUCAAGCGUCUUUACCUCUCUCAAUCGCAAUGGCUGCCUCCCUCUCUCCACACCUCCCUUUCGCACUACAUUUCUCUCUCUGCAGUACAUCCGUUUGUUGGACAGGUGUGUGGGUCUCUGCAGUGAGUGAUGGAACAGGUGUAGUGGAAGAUUUACUGAUAUUAGUAUACAGUUUGUUUCAAAAGAGUACAGGCAUUUCUUGGAACUGAGGUUACACAAUGAUGGUCAAGUACUUUUGCAUCCAUUUUCUGCCCUAGUACUCAGACUACAUGUCUCAGACCCACUUUUGAAAAUGUUUAAAUGCAGUUGUAAUAAAUGAAUGCAAAAUUAACUAUGAAUUACUUUGUUCUCAUAAUAUCAAAUGUUGUUUUCAUCAGAAAAAUGUUGCAAUGUUGUUUUCUCUCUUCACUGCAAUCAGCAAAUACUGCUGCUGGAAACCUCUGAUUGCCUUCAUCAAUAGCGGGCCUAAAAUAUGUACCACAUAAUUGACAGAUGGAUGCAUACGGACUGUUCCUUUAAUUGAUCCCCAUCACAUUCCAGAGGAUUCAAUUAGGUCACUUUCCACGUCUCCAACAUUACAGAGCUUAGCUGUGGUGUGGUUUUAGGUCUCCAUACAUCCAUGCCGGCUAUGUUCCUCUGCUGUAUUCAAUAUUACUCAUCCUUAAGGGGAAUUGUCUUUGUGUUGGGAUGGGAAGGCAACAGGCCUUUGGUCCGACUAGCCUAUGGAGGUACUGUAUGGUUUGUGAUUGGGAUACACAGUCCUAUUCAGUACUUACUGUAUAAAUACUAUGGUGUUUGGAGAAAAAAUGCAGUACAAAUUGCCAUAUUUUUCCUGUGUGUGUGUGUGUGUGUCUGUGCAUAUCUUUGAUCUAUUACAAGCAUAUACUUUAUCAACAUCAGGAUAAUUGGCCAUAGCUUGUCUUUUUUGUAUGUGUGUUUAUUUAUGUGCCUGUGUAUCUCUCUGUGUGUGUGUGUGUCUGUGUGUGAGUGUGUGUAGUUGUGAGUGUAAAAGCAGGUUAUGGGGUGUCUGUGUGCCAACAGGACAGCCUUGGGGCGACCUGUUCUUACUCUCUACCAGGACUUGUGAGGGCUUGUCCUCAGAUCCUUCACCCCUGAUAGUCUUACCGUUUAGAAACCUCUGUCGUCUCCAGCAGUUGAAAGUGAGUGCACCGUAAAUUUCCACACAUGACUUGUGAUCUGAUCGAAUCUUUCCUUUAUGACCUUCAUGCCACGUGGGAUCCAUCACUGUCAUUCUGAGAGAAAGAGAGAGAGCAAAGGCUAUCGGAGAGAUUGACAGUUGGUCGGAGAAGUGUAACAGGUUUUCCAAAGGGCACAGAACAUCUAACCAAGUCUCCCAGUCCAUCGACAGUUCAGCGUGUUCAGUGAUCCUGAAUGUUGAAGUGGUGCGGUCCGGGGCUAGGCUGUGGGUUUAACCCUUCCUGGCUCUGCGCCACAGCGGGGACCAGCAGCCAAUGGGAGCGCAUGCACCAGGGCUCAUCAACACUGUUAGCAUAUGUAAAUACGUUGAUGCAUGCAACCACGUGACGUUUUGUGUCUUUCACGAUGUUGCGUGUUACCUCAACACUCGUGAAAAGCCUCACCAGUUGUAACGAAGGGAUGGGCCGCUCUCCGUUAUUCAAGGUGUAAUCCCUGCCUCAUCCUCUCACACCUGGGAACCAUUGUUAUGCUUCAUUUAUCUCCCCUUGCCAAUGACACUGGAGUCUUAGUGAAAUCCCGGUUCUAAGUGAAACCACCAUUUAAUCCAUGCCCAACUGGCUGAGAAGCACCUGUACCUCCACCUGUUUACACCCGCAGAAAUGUAAUACACCUACGACACAGUCACUUACUACACCUACGACCACUUACAACAUCUAUGACACCUAUGACAACUUUCUACACUUACGACCACUUACUACACCUAUGACACCUACGACCACUUACUACACCUACAACACCUAUGACAACUUUCUACACUUACGACCACUUACUACACCUAUGACACCUACAACCACCUACGAACACUUACUACACCUGCGACCACUUACUACACCUACGACCACUUACUACACCUACAACCACUUACUACACAUACGACACCUAUGACCACUUUCUACACUUACGACCACUUACUACACCUGUGACACCUACAACCACCGACGAACACUUUCUACACCUACAACCACUUACUACACCUACAACACCUAUGACCACUUACUACACCUACGACACCUAUGACCAUAUAAUACACCUAUGACACCUACGACCACUUACGACACCUACAACUACUUACUACACCUGCUACAUCAACAACACCAAUGACCACCUACUAUACAUGCAAUGACCACCUAUGACAACUAGUACACCUAGUACACCUAUGGUCACCUACUACACCUGCUACAUCCAUGACACCAACAACCACCUACUAUACCUGCUACACCAACAACCACCUACUAUACCUGCUACACCAACAACCACCUACUAUACCUGCUACACCAACAACCACCUACUAUACCUGCUAUGACCACCUACUACACCUGCUAUGACACCAGCAACCACCUACUACACCUACUACACCAACGGCCACCUACUAUACCUGCUACGACUGCCUACGACCAUCUACAACACCAACAACAUCUGCAACACCUACGACACCAACGACACCUACUCUUUCAGUGCUUUUGAAUGGGAGCACACAAUGUUCUUACUCAUGUUAUUGUCUCUAAUUGAAUCCAAUUUAGUAAGUCCUGUGGAACCAGGAACCUGAUUGAAUAAGACGCUUUUCUGUUAAAUGGAUUUAAAAAAAAAAAAACGAAAUAUAUCUGGCAAUGUUUUAUGUUGUAUUUCAAAAUACUCCCAAUGUAUGGUAUUUUUCGGUAUGGGCAACGGAGAUGCUGCAACGAGAGAAAACCUGGGUUCACUGAUGUUUUUAUGGCAUAGAAAUAGAGCCACCAGAACAGGCACACCCUGUCAGACCCCAGUUGUUUGAUUCUAAUGAUUCUAUUUCCAUGAGCUUACACUGAGUCACAACUGACAGAGGGCACAAGCCUAUAUGGUUUUAAAUGAUUACUGACUUUGUUUGGGUGCGUGGGGAUCUCCAGGAGACACGCAGGUAUCGGCGCGGAUCUGAGCAUUGUCACGUGGCCUGUCCUAGGAGAGACAGACAGCGAACACCUAAUCCCCUCUCCAGUCAGGGAAGCAGCGCUACUGGGGGGUUAGCUGGCGACUGUCGCCAGCCUCUCUGGUUCCCAGUGGGUGUGUGUGUGUGUGUGUGUGUGUUGUUUACUCCUGUGUGCUCUUAUCCCGUUGAUUGAAACCCGUGGGAGAUGUGGAGGGUAUAGGGGCGAGGCGGUUCGUAUAGGGGCUUACAGAGCGGACUGCCAGGGUGACAGGAGAGGCAGGCUGGGACAGGACCGUAAGCAGGUGACCUGGGAGUCGGACAGCCACUGAAACACACAGACAUACACAGACAGCGCUUCCCGCAUAUCCUGCCUCCUCCACCUGAGACUGUGUUUUCUGUUAACGUGAGCUCUGUUGUAAUUGUGCGUCCAUCAGGUGAGACAGAACGUUAUCUGUCUUGCGAGUCAGGGCGUUCUUGUCUGUGAUGUACUACAACAUCAUUUGAACUAAUGGCCCUUUUUCGGGUUCAUGUUUUGUACCGUGAACUUUGACACGAUUGGCGAAUUGAUGUACCGCACAUGACGGAAUUUAAGAAAUAAAAUUGUAAUAAACUA